rnacentral:misc_RNA from 1 species
AAGUCGUAACAAGGUUUCCGUAGGUGAACCUGCGGAAGGAUCAUUAACACGUAUCCAACGUAAAAAAAACCCCGUGAACGUUCAUAACCCGAUAUGCGUAAUAGCAUGCGGCAAGGCAUGAUUUUUUGUACUGGACUACCUCGAAGCAGGGCGCACAAUGUCUGACAGUGGCAUUGCUGUGGGAAGGGUAGUACGCUCAACGUUUGCUGGAGGCCACCACGGCCGGCAACCAGUGCAUAGAGCUUAGGGUUUUUCGGUUAUUGGGGUGAAUUUAUUCACCCUUAAUAGCUUACAGAACCCUUCUUUCCCAGCUCACAAAUUACCCCAUCACGCAACAUUUGGCUCACCUAACGGUUUGAGCCCUCCAACCCCAAUAUACGACUGUUAACAAUGGAUAUCUCGGAUCUC